UACGGGAGGCAGCAGUGAGGAAUAUUGGUCAAUGGGCGAGAGCCUGAACCAGCCAAGUAGCGUGCAGGACGACGGCCCUAUGGGUUGUAAACUGCUUUUAUGCGGGGAUAAAGUUGGCUACGUGUAGCCAUUUGCAGGUACCGCAUGAAUAAGGACCGGCUAAUUCCGUGCCAGCAGCCGCGGUAAU
rnacentral:rRNA from 1 species